AAACAUGACUUUGAUCUGCGUCCUCAUCUGGACUCUCCUCUGCUGCUGCUUCACAGAGUCCAGAGGACAGAUCACAGUGACUCAGCCUGGAGCAGUGAGCUCUGCUGUGGGAGGAGAUGUGAGGAUCAAGUGUAGGACCAGUCAGGAUGUUUAUGUUUAUAGCAACUACCACUAUUUAGCCUGGUACCAACAGAAAGAUGGAGAAACUCCCAAACUGCUCAUUAAGCGUUCUCAUGAGAGAAUAUCAGGGAUUCCAGCUCGUUUUACAGGCAGUGGAUCAAACUCUGACUUCACUCUGACCAUCAGUGGAGUCCAGGCUGAAGAUGCAGCAGUUUAUUACUGUCAGAGUUUUCAUGUUAUCAACAGUCAAGGUGUGUUCACACAGUGAAAAACAGUCGUACAAAAACCUCCCUCAGUCAGACUGAACAGAAACUGAACUGACUGCUGCAGCUGGAAGAUACUGCAGAGACUGUGUGCACCAGACUACUGCUAUCGCAUACAUGUUGUGUUCAACUUUCAAAUGUAUAUUUAACUAAAGAACAAACGUGGGCCAUUAACAGAUAUCAGGAUAAGUCCUGUUCAUGACCUUGACGACCUUAGAAGUGGAACAAAUCCACUGAAUCUAUAUCAAGUUAAAAUAAUCUAAAUACCAAAAUCUGAAAAUGUUCCUGAUCAGUGAGGGUCAAAAUAAAAACACCUGUGAAUUUAAGAUUUUACUCUAAACAUAUCAUCAAACAUGAACAUGAGUGAAAAAACUGUUAUUGAACUGAAGGUGUUUUCAUUUAUCAAUUAUUUGUUCAUAUCAUCAUUCAUUUAAUCUUCUCCUUUUUCGUCAAUGACAUUAAAACUUUGUACUUCA